UACGUAGGGGGCGAGCGUUGUCCGGAUUUAUUGGGCGUAAAGGGCUUGUAGGUGGCCACGUCAAGUCGGAUGUGAAAUCUCCCGGCUCAACUGGGAGGGGUCAUUCGAUACUGGCGGGCUCGAGGCCGGUAGGGGGAAGCGGAAUUCCCGGUGUAGAGGUGAAAUUCGUAGAUAUCGGGAGGAACACCAGUGGCGAAGGCGGCGAUCUGGGAAGAUACUGACGCUGAGGUGCGAAAGCGUGGGGAGCAAACAGG
rnacentral:rRNA from 1 species